GUGGCUUUGCAGACCUAUGAAAUCCACCCUGAGCUGAUCUGAAAAUAAACAACAUCAAAACUGUAUGGUUUUGCUGAAAUAAAACCCUGGAGCAAUGAAACAAAUGAGUAACACUUUCUAUUGGUCUACGUAGUUUAGUACAUGAAACAUACAUGUAAGCAACUCAAGAUGAAUGAGUCAUCUUGACUUAAUAAAGCUUACAAAUACUUGCUAAAUAUUUGAAAAGUCACAUGCCAGGACCCUUCAUCGCUUGUUUUGUUAGACUCCUGCUUUGCCAAAUCAAAACAGUCAGAAAUCAUAAAAAUAAUCCACACAAUCUGCCUGAAAAUGCAGUUUUCUAGCAUCAUUUUCCUUAGUUUACAGCAUCAAGUCCUUCUUUCUGCCAUCAAAAUUUUGCAAUAGAGAGAGCAUGACUUCCUCUUCUCAUAAGUUCAGCUGACAAGACAGGAUUUCUCCCUGGAUCUUGGUGCAUUACAUACACCUGUCAAGCAGAAGCUUCAAGGCAGCCUCAGGGGAGCAUCUCUCAAAGACACUCCUGCAAUAACAAUGAACUCACCAUCCAUUUGCUGCCUGUUUCUUUGAAACGAUGAGCAAGUUAAGAACACACUGACCAAACCACUUCAAUUUGCACUUCUCUAGGGAAGAGUAUGGUAAUGCCUGAGUUUGGACCUGCACGUCUUCCUGCACACCUACCAGUGAGGACAGCCUGAGUAAUUAAGCACUUUGGAUGUUGAAAGCAAUUUGGACAUCUCCUAAACCCAGAGCUGAAUUUUGCUGUUUUCUGCAAGGAAUAAGGGCGUCAGAAAUCCAGAGCAAGCUGAGGACAUGCAUGGUGGGUGAAGGCAGGAUUUCACUCCCGGGUGCUGGGAGGACCUUUCCCCUGGAGCUGACUGUGAGAAGGGAUGUCACCAUGAUCGGUUCUGUGGAAUUUAAUCUCCCAGAUGGAAAGCAAAUCAAUCUGCCCAUCGCUGCAGCUGAGGUAUACUUUGGCUCAACUUUAAUUUAUUCUCUGAAGCUGAAGGAGGCUGGUCAUUUCAAGUUAUGAAAUCUUGUACGUGGAAGCAUUUGGUCACGACGAAUCUCUGAAGAACAGAUGUUCUGAUGCUGUCCCAUCAGGUGCAUUCACUGCUUUGCUGUGUGUUGUCCUUCUACUGUGUGACAGCUUAAGAUGGAGCCUGUGCAGUGCCCUCAGUCUGUAGCAGAGAUGUCAUUUAAUGGAUGAUCAGAACAUUAAUGAAUCUGCUCUGUGGAAAGAAUGGUUUUUGAAUCUAUGCCACAAUCUGCUGGGGCUGCACCACGUGGCUGCAUUCAGGCUUCUUCUGGGAUCUUCAGCUUCUGCUUUCCUGACACGGCCUGCUGGAUUGCAGGACCUGAGACCAGUGUUCUCCAGGCUAUGGGGAAGGUGGGAUUCACAGUAGUCAGUCGAAACACCGAGUGUUUAGGAGCUUUUGUAUGAGUGCCAGGAAGGAGAAGGAUGCUCUGGAAUUUGUGCAAAAGGAGAAUACAGUGAUGCUCACUGUGGUGUUCCAGAGCUGGGUUAUAAUGAGAAUGGAGACUUUCUUCAAGGUCUCAGGCUGGGGUUCUGCCUGCUGUGAGGAGCAAGGCAUUCCCCUGCUCAAGGCCAGGUGAGAAGCAUUGAUAACUGUCUCUGUUUACUCUGGAAUGUGAUGCUGAGAGCUCAGAUCCUCACCAGGUGGGAGAUGCUCAUGGGUCCUUUUGCAAAUUAAGGGCUGAAUUCAUCCAAAGCAAACUUUGCACAUCACAAGCAAUGAUGUGAACUAUUCACAGAGCCAGUGGCUGAAGAAGUGGAUGGGAUCUGCAGCCAGAAGAAACAAAUGUGUCAUUUGAAUUAUGGCACAGUUUGCUUUGAGAUUUUCUCAGUUCAAAGUUGACAUCUCUUCAUCUUAUGUAACAGCGUAAAAGAUCUGUUAAACACCACUGCAGGCUGUGUUUUUAACUGC
ensembl:lncRNA